rnacentral:sRNA from 1 species
AUUGCAUACAAGCCGAGUUUCGUGAAUGAACGAAAGCGGGGGACCCGAUAAAUGGGGUGAAUAUCGCAGUUGUGGAUGUAUAGAAUCCACUUGCGAUUAGGGCAGCCUGAACGUGCCCGAAUCCGACAGCUAACCUCGUAGGCAUGUACGUCAGGAUAC